CGUAGGCGGGAUGGCAAGUCGGUCGUGAAAUCCUUCGGCUCAACCGAAGAACGUCGAUCGAUACUGCUGUUCUUGAGGAUUGCAGAGGAGACUGGAAUUCCCGGUGUAGCGGUGAAAUGUGUAGAGAUCGGGAGGAACACCGGUGGCGAAGGCGGGUCUCUGGGCAAUUCCUGACGCUGAGGCGCGAAAGCGUGGGGAGCAAACGGGAUUAGAUACCCCGGUAGUCCACGCUGUAAACGAUGACGACUAGGUGUGGGGGGGUUCAGUCCCCUCCGUGCCGCAGCUAACGCAUUAAGUCGUCCGCCUGGGGAGUACGGCCGCAAGGUUGAA
rnacentral:rRNA from 1 species